rnacentral:rRNA from 1 species
AUAUCAAUAAGCGGAGGAAAAGAAACCAACAGGGAUUGCCCUAGUAGCGGCGAGCGAAGCGGCAACAGCUCAAAUUUGAAAUCUGGCCUCGGCCCGAGUUGUAAUUUGUAGAGGAUGCUUUUGGCAAGGCUCUUCCUGAGUCCACUGGAACGUGGCGCCAUAGAGGGUGAGAGCCCCGUAUAGUUGGAAGCCAAGCCUGUGUAAAGCUCCUUCGACGAGUCGAGUAGUUUGGGAAUGCUGCUCUAAAUGGGAGGUAAAUGUCUUCUAAAGCUAAAUACCGGCCAGAGACCGAUAGCGCACAAGUAGAGUGAUCGAAAGAUGAAAAGCACUUUGAAAAGAGGGUUAAAUAGCACGUGAAAUUGUUGAAAGGGAAGCGCUUAUGACCAGACUUGUGCCGGGUUGAUCAUCCAGUGUUCUCACUGGUGCACUCUUCCCGGUUCAGGCCAGCAUCGGUUCUGUUGGGGGCAUAAAGGCAGCGGGAACGUAGCUCCUCCGGGAGUGUUAUAACCCAUUGUGUAAUUCCCCCGACGGGACCGAGGACCGCGCAUUGCUAGGAUGCUGGCGUAAUGGUCAUCAGCGA